GAUGAACGCUGGCGGCGUGCUUAACACAUGCAAGUCGAACGGUGAAGGCGGAGCUUGCUCUGCUGGAUCAGUGGCGAACGGGUGAGUAACACGUGUGCAAUCUGCCCCUGACUCUGGGAUAAGCGCUGGAAGCGGCGGCUAAUACUGGAUACGAGCUGCGAAGGCAUCUUCAGCAGCUGGAAAGAAUUUCGGUCAGGGAUGAGCUCGCGGCCUAUCAGCUUGUUGGUGAGGUAAUGGCUCACCAAGGCGUCGACGGGUAGCCGGCCUGAGAGGGUGACCGGCCACACUGGGACUGAGACACGGCCCAGACUCCUACGGGAGGCAGCAGUGGGGAAUAUUGCACAAUGGGCGAAAGCCUGAUGCAGCAACGCCGCGUGAGGGACGACGGCCUUCGGGUUGUAAACCUCUUUUAGCAGGGAAGAAGCGAAAGUGACGGUACCUGCAGAAAAAGCGCCGGCUAACUACGUG
rnacentral:rRNA from 1 species